GGGGCGCGCGCUGCUGGCGGCCCGGAGACUGGCGGCCUCUCCAGGGGCGCCGCGGGAGGGUGCGGUCCGCGCUGGGCGAGGCUUCCUGCGGGCACCGGCGCGCUCGGCCUACGCUCCUGGGCGCUGCAGUUCUCCCUCUCCUUGCCAGCCCAGAGAUAAAUAGACGGCCAGAAAGAAAAGAAAAGGAGAAAACAUCUCUAGAGCUCUGCGCGGGGAGGACAGUAGCCGCGGCAGCUGUGGUUUCUGAUAGCUAAUUAACACCUCAGCAUUACAAUUCUGCUUUCCAUAAACUUCUGUGCAGAAAUCUAGGGAAUCCAAAAGAAUUGGAGAGUGCUGAGUUCCCUGGAGUCUGAAGCCUGGAGAAACCAUCCGGAAGGCUGUAGCUAUUCAUCUCGAAGGAGCAGAUGUUGUCCCUCCCCAAGGAGUUAUUAUGGGUUGGAAGAAAUGAGAAAAUGAAUAUAAACAAGUUAUUUUGUGAAUGUUAUCAAAUACGAUCAGCACCAACCAAACAGAGCUCUAAAUGCGAAAAAGCAAGUGGACUCAAUGUGGAUGAAGUGUGGAGGGGAUUUUGAGACAUGAAGCUUGAAAUACAGUUGACCCUUGAACAAGGUGGGUUUGAACUGCAGGUGUCCACAUAUGCACAGAUUUUUUUCAACCAAACAUGUUGAUAAAUACAGAAUUCAUGGUAAACCCACAUAUACUGAGGGCUGACUUUCCCUAUCUACCUUCCACAAAGUAUGCACAAGUAUAUGUGGGAGUCCUGGAAUCAAUCCCCUGCAUGUACUGAAGUAUGACUGUAUAUGUUUCUUUUAACCUAAACUUCCUAUACUAACUCUGCCUUUGUGUAUUUCCGCAUUCCUCCUGCCCCAGAAAACUAGAUAGGUAUUUAAGAGGGAGAAAAAAUAAGCUUGAAAUAUUUUAGCAGUUACCAUAGAGAAUAAGAAAAAAAAUUCGCAUUAUAUGCAAGGAAAGUCAAGCAUGAUAUAUAAUUAUUCAGAAUCAACCACUAAAAAGGCUCUUCAGUAAAAUAAAGAAUAAUUAUCCCAAAGGAAGUGAUUGUUUUGACACUUAAUUGGGAGGACAGCCAAAAAUUUAGACUAGGAUUAUAGCCCUUGCCUUGCUUUUGGAAGAUUUUGUAGUGAUUAUUCAGAGAAGCUGAUGUUCGCAAUUCUAGUUAACUUGAGUUACGGUAAAAUAAAAUAAAACAAAACCCUAUGGAUGCAUGUAUAUAAAGAAGAUUGACAUAAAAUCAUUAUCCAUUGUUUAAUAAAUGACUUGAAACCUUUUCCUGAUGUAGCUAAACUUCUCUCAAAAAUGAAUUUUGGCUGGGCGAGGUAGCUCACACCUGUAAUCUCAGCACUUUGGGAGGCC